GGCUCAACUAAAUACUGGAUCUUUAUAACUCUUCUCAGGAUAAGGAGAGGAUUUGAGACAAUCCAUAGGUGCUCCAUACAGUUGCAGUCUAUGGCAGGUUUAGAGCCCUGCAAGGGAAGGAGAAACAACGAGCAUACAACUGCAGAAAUGGCUGACUCCAUCUUUGGGCAAAGGCACCAACUUUGGUAACCUCAUUUUCAUAGCAUUGCAAAAGGACCACGAUUUCCAGUUCGAAUCAAAUCAGGACUGAUUCACACAUCCCUACUCAUAAGAGACAACCAGAAAACUCUAAAACCGAAGGUUUCAUGGGGAAGUUGUAGAAACAUCCUGGACAAAAAUAAGCUACUACCAUAUUGUGCUAAGAAUAAUACAUGAAUUGGUUGAUGAACCCAAUAGGAGUCAAGGUUUACUUUUUGUCAUGAUUUGUCAUGAUUUCCAGAAAUCUUAAAUUCAAAUGGAGAUUUGGUUACUAUCUGCAGUCUGUUGCCUUGAUAUAUGCCCAUAGUCAUAUUGGGACUUCAGGUAGGGAACAAAAAAACCCAAGGAAAACCUAUUGAGAAUCUAGAAUUUUAAGUUACCCUGGAAAUAAGAAUUUGGAUUGGCACUACCUUUGAGGAAUGUCUUUCAUCUCGCAGGCAUCUAGAACAGCUUGACCAAAAUCAAGUGCAAAACCCCAUUUGCGGGAUGUAGGCAGCACGUGAAACCACUCUGGUCCACGGAAAAAACUCUCUCCAUGGAACUGGUCCCUGGUGCCCAAAAGGUUGGAGGUCUCUGAUAUAAACUGAGUAAAAGAGAAAGAAUGAUUUUUAAAGAAUGAUGAUAUCUGGUUGUUUUCCUUCCCAUACAGAUUCUCACUGCGUAAGAUGCCAAAUAAGAGACAUACAUAGUUCAGACUGGUAAAAUAUUCAUCAGGAUAAUAAGUCAGGCUUGGAUCCAGUUCCCAGAAGUUCUUAUACAGCCAAGAAAGGUCAAGAAAGAGUUGUCAAUGCUUCAAAAUAAUAAACAGAGACAAAUGAUAAGUAGCAGCUCUUAAAUUCAGCACAAUUUUGGACAAGUUUCCAUGUUAGAGAACAGGAACUAUAGGCCAGAGCAACUACUAAAGAAUUAAUAGGUGAAUGCAAAUCCUCCCCUUG